GACCUAACCUGGCAGGGGAGAUACCAUGAUCACGAAGGUGGUUUUCCCAGGGCGAGGCUUAUCCUCUGCACUCCGGAUGUGCUGACCCCUGGGAUUUCCCCAAAUGCGGGAAACUUAGCUGGCAAAUUGAAUAAAGAGUUCUCAUUUGU
rnacentral:snRNA from 1 species